rnacentral:lncRNA from 1 species
UGAUGAAUUUGUGUGUGUUGCGGCUGAUGUGCAUUUUGGUGCUUUGUAUGCAAGUUUAAGAAUAUCUUAGCAAUAGGAAAGGAAGAUUUAUGGCAUUUUAAUUAAUGAAUAUAAUGAAGGCUAAAACUUGUAGAUAAAUUUAUAAGGUGCUUAAGGGCUCUUCAAUUUGUUAAUGGAAAGAAACACCAUUUACACCGGAUGGCUACAAAGCAACCUUAUUCUGAGAGAGAGGAUCUCAUUCUGUCACCCAGGCUGGAGUGCAUGAUCAUAGCUCACUGCAGCCUCGACCUCCUGGGCUCAAGUGAUCCUCCUGCUCUAGCCUCUCAAGUAGCUAGGACUACAGAUCUUUUCUCAGAAUAGCAGUCUGUAGGCUGUCACCUAAAGUGUCCUGUUUUCAGUGCUGCACCUGCUCUGAGCUUCAGCUUUUUACGAAGACGUCAUGGUGUGCUAUCUGUACUGGGAAACUUUCCCCAGCAUCAGCCAGCUCCUGAAGAUAAUAUUGUCUGCUAGAGAUUGUCAUGUAUGUGGAUUGAAUCUCUUUAUCUUCAUGGAUCCAGUUGAAAAUCAGGCAUUGCAUCCAGUCAUCAUGGCUUUAAUCUUAAUGCCUUCCCUGCACUGUUUUGGGAAUAUCUUGAUACUGCUAUUUUUGAAGAGUCCAGAUCAGUUAUUCUGCAGAAUGUCUGUUGAUUUGGCUUUGCUGUUUCCUCAUAAGUAGAUCCAGAUUAUACGUUUUUGUUGAUGUUGGGUUCUUCUCAGUGAAUCACAUCCGAUGAUGUCAGCACGAGGCCUGAUCAUUUGGUUUAGGUAGCUUUCACUAGACUUUUUCAUUGUAAAGGUACCUAUCCCUUUUCUAAUUAAUAAGUAAUAUGUUGGGUGAUAGUUUGUGUGUGAAUAUCCUUUUCUCCAGUGACCUUUCAUCCAAUGGUUUCAGCAUUUUAAAUGAUCCUGGGCUGAGUCAGUUUUUUCAGUGGUGGCUGCAGACUUGUGGUUUUCCAAUUCUUUCAUAACUUUUACAUUUAUUAAUUGGCAGUCUAUGACUUCUUAUAGCCACAUAAAGAUAAUUCAGGAAUUAUCUGAACCUAUGAAUGUUACCUUAUUUGGAAAAAGAGUCUUUGCAGAUGCAAUUCAAUUAAGAAUCUUGAGAUGAGGAGAUUAUCCUGGAUUAUCCAAUGGGCCCUAAAUCCAAUGACAAAUGUCCUUGGCAGAGGGAGAUUUGAGACAGGAGAAGAGAAGACACGAAGGAGGGAAGGAAGUGAUGUGACCACAGAGGCAGAGAUUGGAGUGAUGUAGUCACAAGCCAAGGAGCACCAACAGCCACCAGGAGCUGGAAGAGCCCAAGAGUAUAUACUAAUACCUGGAUUUGGGACUUGGGACUUCUGGUCUCUAGAAGUAGGAAAGAAUAAACAUCUGUUUUUUUGUU